CACACACACACACACACACACACACAGUAAAACACCCACCUUAGCCCAGGUGUCCAUGGCUUUGUACCUCCUGUAGCGGAGCCAUCGCCUGCGACGGACACAGGAGUUCCACUUCUUGUCUUUGGUGUAGGUUGCGGGAAAGUCAAUGGCAUAGGUCCAUCCCUGCAGAUACAAACACCUCAAAAUUUAAAACAAAGAAGGAAUAAAAAAAAUAAGAAGACAAAAACUGAUGCUGAAGUAGAGCGAGCUAAACAAUAACUGGACACUCACCCCCUUCUCUGUGGGCUCUCCCUCAUAGUUUUCAUCUGCGUACCAGUCGCCCUCCCACUCCCAGCUGCUGGAGGGCAGCCGGUAGUUGUCCAGAGGUUGGUGUUGCAGACCCGUAAUAUCACUCCACUGCCAGCGGUCACUGGGCAACAAACGCUCGGAGAAACCAUCCACAGGAUUCCACCGCUGGCAGACAGAGAGGUGGCAUUUUAGAGCACACACAGGGUCAAGAUGACAGAAAAAAAUAAAAGUAGAAGUAACCUGUUUUCUGUCAAACCGCACUUUCAUUGAGAUGAACCCUGAAGAGGAAGUCACAAGAACAGCCACUACAAGGUGCACAGCAGACAGCAUGCUGGAGCUGGCUACAGAGGAAGUGGGACACUGCUGUGUCUCCUCCUGGUAGCGGACCGGCAGGUCAGAAGCGUGGACAUUCACAUAGAUGUUGCUGUCACAGGCAAUGCCCCAGCAGCACUGCUGAGCUGCCGUCACUCGCUUGAACUCCAUCUGGGCGUCACGGCACUGCUCCCACUGUUGCCCCGCCGUGGACAGGCUGUAGACCCGCCCGUACACAUCCACCGCCCAUAGCAAGGAGACGGGCAUGGUUGCACCGGGAACCUGCGGGACAGAAGGAAGGCAGAAGUGCUGCAGUUAUUCCCAUUGGCCGUUUCCUCGGCAGCGGGUGUUCGCGACUUUGACGCCCAGCAGGGGACGCUGCUGGCUCAUGUUUCAGAGACGUGACGACUUCCAAAACUUCAAUGACCCCAAAUGAGAAGAGACUUCAUUAAAUCUAGGAGCUGCGUACUUCUUAAUGCA